UGCAUCAUUAGAGAUCCUUGCUGAUGGCUAAACUGCUUUGCAUCUAAAUGAGACCUAACCUGAACAGCUGUUCAACUGGUGCAUGUGAAGGAUUUACAGUGCUGGGUAGUGGGAAGUUUUAAAUCACCAUGUGAGCACAAAGGAGAGGAGCUGUCAGGAGAGCAUGUGUGAUGGGGGAUUUUCACUCUGUGCUGCAGACCUCCAUUGCCUCCCUGGCUCUGCUUUUUGCACAUCGCAGCACCUACCUCGGGGAAAGACGAAGCUGAGAACCAAGAGCCGUCCAGCACAGAGCCCCAGACAGACUGGAGCAUCCAUGAUAUGGUCUCAGAAGACCCUGCGCUAGCUUCUAAAUUGUCUGUGGAGUGGGACCUGGCAGAGUGAGGCACAACAAAGGUUUUGGACUGAAACAAUGAGAGCACACUCCAGUGACGUCCCAGAUCCCUCACUGAGAAGGGCUUCUGGGUGCUCCAUCCUCACCUAGGCUUUCAGACCCCUAGGAAGGGAACAAGAAAAGAGAAGGGAAGGCUCACUGCGAGUAGAAACGUUAGCAAUUUUUCUUCACAACAGGAGACUCUGCAAUUCUGCAUCUGCAGGCCCUAGUACCGUAUUGCCUCGAGUAAGUAAUUGUCCUAAGCGUGAUCUCCAGGCAGGAUCAAGUCCUGGUCCAAAGCAGUGCACGCCACUAUUUUCCUGGCAACCUCCAGUCUGUCUCCUUGUAACAGGCUUCCCAACUGACAGGCUUCAUUUUAGGAUGGUAAUCACAUAGAGAGGCUGUAGUAAGUGAAUUUAAUUUCUCUUCUGGCCUAGCAGCAGACCCUCUUGGAUGAAUGGUCAGAGUUUGCAUUUAAAAGCUCAGUGCAAAAAGUAGUAUCUAUGGGUGAUUGAGCUCGCAGUGUA